GAUGAACGCUGGCUACAGGCUUAACACAUGCAAGUCGAGGGGAAACGACGGGGAAGCUUGCUUCCCCGGGCGUCGACCGGCGCACGGGUGAGUAACGCGUAUCCAACCUGCCUCUGACUGAGGGAUAACCCGUCGAAAGUCGGCCUAAUACCUCAUGGCAUCGUCUGCGGGCAUCCAACGACGAUUAAAGAUUUCAUCGGUCAGAGAUGGGGAUGCGUCUGAUUAGCUUGUUGGCGGGGUAACGGCCCACCAAGGCGACGAUAAGUAGGGGUUCUGAGAGGAAGGUCCCCCACAUUGGAACUGAGACACGGUCCAAACUCCUACGGGAGGCAGCAGUGAGGAAUAUUGGUCAAUGGGCGAGAGCCUGAACCAGCCAAGUAGCGUGCAGGAUGACGGCCCUAUGGGUUGUAAACUGCUUUUAUGCGGGGAUAAAGUGAGGGACGUGUCCUUCAUUGCAGGUACCGCAUGAAUAAGGACCGGCUAAUUCCGUG
rnacentral:rRNA from 1 species